rnacentral:tRNA from 1 species
GAGGGUAUAGCUCAGUGGUACAGUGCGUGCUUAGCACGCACAACAUCCUGGGUUCAAUCCCCAGUAUCUCUA